CCCCCUGGAAAUGAGGGUGCUGUUUUUGUGU
rnacentral:piRNA from 1 species